UGGGGAAUAUUGCACAAUGGAGGGAACUCUGAUGCAGCGACGCCGCGUGAACGAAGAAGGCUUUCGAGUCGUAAAGUUCUUUUAUAUGGGAAGAUAAUGACGGUACCAUAAGAAAAAGCCCCGGCUAACUACGUGCCAGCAGCCGCGGUAAUACGCAGGGGGCUAGCGUUGUCCGGAAUCACUGGGCGUAAAGGGUUCGCAGGCGGAAAUGCAAGUCAGGUGUAAAAGGCAGUAGCUUAACUACUGUAAGCAUUUGAAACUGCAUAUCUUGAGAAGAGUAGAGGUAAGUGGAAUUUUUAGUGUAGCGGUGAAAUGCGUAGAUAUUAAAAAGAAUACCGGUGGCGAAGGCGGCUUACUGGGCUCAUUCUGACGCUGAGGAACGAAAGCGUGGGUAGCAAACAGG
rnacentral:rRNA from 1 species